rnacentral:rRNA from 1 species
AACGUAGGUGGCAAGCGUUGUCCGGAAUUACUGGGUGUAAAGGGAGCGCAGGUGGGUGUGCAAGUUGGGAGUGAAACUCAUGGGCUCAACCCAUGACCUGCUUUCAAAACUGUGCAUCUUGAGUGGAGUAGAGGCAGGCGGAAUUCCCGGUGUAGCGGUGGAAUGCGUAGAUAUCGGGAGGAACACCAGUGGCGAAGGCGGCCUGCUGGGCUCUAACUGACACUGAGGCUCGAAAGCGUGGGUAGCAAACAGG